CUCGUUCGGAGUUUGUCAGUUCACCAAAAAUAGACGCCGUGUACCAGCGUGUGUGUAUGCGAGUGCGUUUAUGUCACUGUAGCUAACGGAGUCACUGGUACGGAGUGUCUAUAUUCAGCGAGGGACGGGCUGAAAAAAGGGGCCUACUUUCCUGCAGGGAGAAGACCGCCGUGAGAGGACAAACACAGAGGAAACGGGGAAGACUGAGGAGCAGAGCAAGGGGCUGGAUAUUAUUGGUCCAGCUGAGUGGAGAUCUCUGCUGUGAUUGAUUCUGUUGUGGUGAAGUGGGACAGCCAAGAGA